rnacentral:lncRNA from 1 species
GCCCUCUGGAGCCUUGAUGUCCGUGCUGCUCUCUUGGCCUUUGCCAUACGGCUCUGGGUACCCGGGGGAUGUCAGCUGCUGGGGUAGCUCUUGGGCCAAGAGGACGGAGCCCCGGGUUGGGCAAGCCUGGAGGACUCCCCAGAGAAGCAGCCACCACCUAUGGGACCGUCUAGUUGCAAGAAAACAAGCUCAGGGCUCCCACUGAUUCUACAUUACGGGCUGUGGGUUCCUUGAGGGAGGAAUUUUGUCCUGCAGGCUGUGGCAGCCCUAGGACUCAGCACAUCUAGGUGUCCACCUGCGUCUGUGGAAGAAGAAGAAGAAGAGGAGGAGGAGGAGGAGGAAGAAGAAAGAUGAUGGUUUACCUGCCUGGACAGCAAGAUGAUGGCUACACUAGCCCCCAUUCUCUGGUCAGUUAUAUCACAGUCCUUCACAGGGCGCCUGGAUUUGCCCACCAGAUCUCCUCACCUCUUGCCCUUCACCUCCUGCUGUACCUACAAGGUCUCCCCGAUUCUCAUCUGCCCAUAAUCAUGGACACAGCCCCAGGAUGUGCAGGGUCGAGCUCCCACCCUCUUGGAAAUGCCUCUGAAGCUGCAUAGUCCUCCCCUGAUGCUUGUGCUCCCUUAGGGGAUCUCCAGGCCUUUGGGUGUGGUCUGGCCCCUGGAGAAGUGUGGUCGAGUGGAGGAUGGGGUCCUGCAGUGGCCAUGUUCUGGACGCCCACAUCACGGGGAGUUUUGAGGGAUUGAGCCCACUUUAGCUUGGGUCUUAAAACCACCAUGGUAAGAAGUGUCAACCUUUGGGGGAAAAAUAAAAAUAUAUAGAAAUAUUUAGAAAAA